GCGGGGCUGGGGGACCGGAAGCCCGGCCGCCCCGCGGCCUCCGGAUGCAGCCGUCUGGAGCGCCGUCCUGCUGCCCCCGCCCUUCCUUUCUCGUGCUCCCGGCCGGCGGCCUCCUCUUUCCCCAAGUUUCCGCGUCUGGGAAAUGGGGGUAAUGGCCGGGGGGUCGGCCCGUUCCCGGCUGGGUGAGUUUGGACAGGUUCACACUUCGAAGUGCACACUUGCGUGAAAAACGAUGGUUGUGGGAGGUCAGCGCAUGUGUGCGUUCACGUUAGCGAUCAACAAACGAUUCAGGAUUCUGAGCUCUGCUUUUCUUCGUUGGAAGAGGAGUCGGUAUUCACACCGUCCUGCAUGAAGUCUGUCCUGUCAGGCUCCACAUCCAACACGGAGCCCAAUGCAAGGCUUGAACUCAUGACCCUGAGAUCAAGACCUGAGCUGAGGUCAAGAGUCAGAUGUUUAACCCAGAAACAAAAGUGAUGUGACCACAGAGCUGACACAUUUCAAGAUGCUGGCAUUAAAAACCAGAGCGAUGCAGCCACAAACCAAGGAGAAACAGCCGACACCAGAAGCUGGAAGAGUCAGGGAACAGUGUCUCCCCUGGAGCCCCCAGAAGGAGUACAGCCCUGUCAACACCUUACUUUGCCCCAGUGAUACUGAUUUUGGACUCCGGGCCCCCAGAACUGAGAGAAUAAAUUUCUGUUUGUUUUAA